UACGUAGGUGGCAAGCGUUGUCCGGAUUUAUUGGGGUUAAAGGGUGCGUAGGUGGGUUGAUAAGUCAGUGGUGAAAUCCCCGAGCUUAACUUGGGAACUGCCAUUGAUACUAUUGAUCUUGAAUACCGUGGAGGUCAGCGGAAUAUGUCAUGUAGCGGUGAAAUGCUUAGAUAUGACAUAGAACACCAAUUGCGAAGGCAGCUGGCUACGCGAAUAUUGACACUGAUGCACGAAAGCGUGGGGAUCAAACAGG
rnacentral:rRNA from 1 species